UGAUCCGAUGUGGUGUGUAAAUACAACUGUAUCGGCAAUGGGUUGUGGGGCAUUAACAUUUGCUCUAAUUUUGUUUUGACAGACUGUGAAAAGAGCGUUGAGACCAUCACCACUGUACAGGAAGACACAGUCCAGUAAUGGGUGUCAGAGGUUCAGUAGUGAACGACAGAAACAAACAAUCCAAAUUACCUGCAGAACGCCCUUGAUGGAGGCUUCAGCUGCAUCGUCAGACUGGCAGCACUGAGAUAUUGACUGAGACGGGACGUGAGGGCCUACUCUGCAUGCUCAGAGUUCAAGCCCAGCAGGCUGCAGCGGGCCUGACAUAUUCCGGAACAGCAGCACAGUCUUUAGAUGACUCCUCUGAAGAUGAAAACAUGGCGAGUUCUUCUCAAGAGAAGCAGUACAGGUGUGCCUCAGCUCCACGGUCCCUCCUGCAGCCUCUGCUCCUGAUGCUAACGUCAUGUCUCCAUCACAACAAGCAGCAGACCUGGAGUGACAGACCUUUCUCCAGAGCUGCCCCCUCCCUCUGAAACCCCCCUCUCCAAAACACUAUUUGUGUCGUUUUUUAAGUCUUAUUUGCAUGAGAAUUGUUGAUCAUAACAUUUCCAGCAGAUGCCUUAAUGUAAUGUUUCUGCACAAUAAAUUACAUUGAUCAUAACAUAAUGGUAUUUCCUUGCACUUCCACACCAUGAUAUUGGCAGAUAAGAUGCUGAUUA